AGAGUUUGAUCCUGGCUCAGGACGAACGCUGGCGGCGUGCUUAACACAUGCAAGUCGAACGAUGAAGCCUAGCUUGCUAGGUGGAUUAGUGGCGAACGGGUGAGUAAUACGUGAGUGACCUACCUUUGACUCUGGGAUAAGCCUGGGAAACUGGGUCUAAUACCGGAUACGACCAAUCUCCGCAUGGGGUGUUGGUGGAAAGCGUUAUGGAGUGGUUUUAGAUGGGCUCACGGCCUAUCAGCUUGUUGGUGAGGUAAUGGCUUACCAAGGCGACGACGGGUAGCCGGCCUGAGAGGGUGACCGGCCACACUGGGACUGAGACACGGCCCAGACUCCUACGGGAGGCAGCAGUGGGGAAUAUUGCACAAUGGGCGCAAGCCUGAUGCAGCGACGCCGCGUGAGGGAUGACGGCCUUCGGGUUGUAAACCUCUGUUAGCAUCGAAGAAGCGAAAGUGACGGUAGGUGCAGAGAAAGCGCCGGCUAACUACGUG
rnacentral:rRNA from 1 species